rnacentral:rRNA from 1 species
GUGGCGACGGGUGAGUAACACGUGGGCAACCUGCCCCUGACUUUGGGAUAACUCCUCGAAAGAGGGGCUAAUACCGGAUACGACCACUGGCGGCAUCGCCUGGUGGUGGAAAGCUCCGGCGGUCAGGGAUGGGCCCGCGGCCUAUCAGCUUGUUGGAGGGGUAACGGCCCACCAAGGCGACGACGGGUAGCCGGCCUGAGAGGGCGACCGGCCACACUGGGACUGAGACACGGCCCAGACUCCUACGGGAGGCAGCAGUGGGGAAUAUUGGUCAAUGGGCGAAAGCCUGAACCAGCAACGCCGCGUGAGGGAUGAAGGCCUUCGGGUUGUAAACCUCUUUCAGCAGGGACGAAGCGCAAGUGACGGUACCUGCAGAAGAAGCACCGGCUAACUACGUGCCAGCAGCCGCGGUAAUACGUAGGGUGCAAGCGUUGUCCGGAUUUAUUGGGCGUAAAGAGCUCGUAGGCGGUCCAGCACGUCAGAUGUGAAAACUCGGGGCUUAACCCCGAGCCUGCAUUCGAUACGGCUGGACUCGAGUGUGGUAGGGGAGACUGGAAUUCCUGGUGUAGCGGUGGAAUGCGCAGAUAUCAGGAGGAACACCGAUGGCGAAGGCAGGUCUCUGGGCCAUUACUGACGCUGAGGAGCGAAAGCGUGGGGAGCGAACAGGAUUAGAUACCCUGGUAGUCCACGCCGUAAACGGUGGGCGCUAGUUGUGGGGAACUUUCC